rnacentral:rRNA from 1 species
CGCACUUUCCUCAUCGUCAUGGUUGCGUGUGCAGAAAUUUGUGCGCCGUAGCUUAGGAUCCCUUUUAAGGUAUGAUGCGGCUAUUAUGGUGGCGCGAUUCGACCCGUCUUGAAAACCCGGACCAAGGAGUCUAGCGUAUUUGCGAGUCAAAGGGUGUAAAAACCUGAGGGCGCAGUGAAAGCGAAUUGAUUAUCUAUAAAAUGGUGCAAUUUGAGGCGGCAUACGAUCGUUGAUUGUAAGUCCGACCUAGAGCAGAUAUGCUAGGACCCGAAAGAUGGUGAACUAUGCUUGAAUAGGGCGAAGCCAGAGGAAACUCUGGUGGAGGCUCGUAGCGGUGCUGACGUGCAAAUCGCUCGUCAAAUUUGAGUAUAGGGGCGAAAGACUAAUCGAACCAUCUAGUAGCUGGUUUCCUCCGAAGUUUCUCUCAGGAUAGCAGGCCCAAAUUGUAUGAUUGUUGUGUGUGGUAAAGCGAAUGAUUAGCAUACUCGGGGGCGUUAAGCCUUCGGAUGAUUCUCAAACUUUAAAUGCGCACGGAUGUUGCCGCUUGGGUGGGCGGCAUCUCUAAAAACUUGGGCUUUGUGGGCCAUUUUUGGUAAGCAGAACUGGCGAUACGGGAUGAACCGUAAGUGUGGUUAAGGCGUCAAAUUGUCCGCUUAAAGAUUCCAAAAAAGGUGUUGAUUCAUCGAGACAGCAGGACGGUGGCCAUGGAAGUCGGAAUCCGCUAAGGAGUGUGUAACAACUCACCUGCCGAAUGAAUUAGCCCUGAAAAUGGAUGACGCUAAAGCGGGCAGCCGACACCACACCGUUUGAGCAAAGAAAAAUAAAUUUAUAUGCUUAAAUGAGUAGGAGGAACGUGGUGGUCGUGUUGAAGCGUGCGUGCAAACGUGCGUGGAACGGCCACUAGUGCAGAUCUUGGUGUUAGUAGCAAAUAUUCAAACGAGAACCUUGA